rnacentral:rRNA from 1 species
UACGUAGGGUGCGAGCGUUGUCCGGAAUUAUUGGGCGUAAAGAGCUCGUAGGCGGCCUGUUGCGUCCGCUGUGAAAGCCCGGGGCUUAACCCCGGGUCUGCAGUGGAUACGGGCAGGCUAGAGGUAGGUAGGGGAGAAUGGAAUUCCCGGUGUAGCGGUGAAAUGCGCAGAUAUCGGGAGGAACACCGGUGGCGAAGGCGGUUCUCUGGGCCUUACCUGACGCUGAGGAGCGAAAGCGUGGGGA